GGUGGGUGAUUCAGAGAAGUCUGGAGAACUGAAUGAUUAAAUGAGUCUGGGGGAUUGCUGAGGACAGGGCUGGGUCUGGGUCUCCUCCCCUCACAGUGGGGCAUCUCAGACCACAGGGCUGGGUCUCUCUUCCCCUUGGACAGGGGCCUCCACAAACAUCAGUAUUAUUCUGUCUCCCCAACCUUGGUCUUCCUCUUUGGCUUCCUCAGGGCUCUCCUGCCUCCAAGCAGGCAUCCUGGUGGGCAUCUCAGCCUUCCUCGUCCUGACCUUCCUCUUCCUCUCUUUCCUUUGCCUUCAUCGCCAUUGUUAUCAGCCCAGACUAGGGAAAGGAGACAGAGAGACAGACAUCAAGACCACCAGGAGAUCAGAACUAGCUGGGACCACCCUAGAGGAGACUGUGUAUGCUGCUGUGAAUGAUGACACACAGACAGAGGAGGCUGGACAAGAAGAAAAGGCUCUCCAAAGAGAAGACCUUCAGGAAGUAACCUAUGCCCAGGUGAACCACAAGAGGCUCAAGUGUGGGGUUCAGCCUCCUCCCCAAUCUGGCCCAGUGGAGCCUAGUGUCUAUGCUGUCCUUCGGUGAGCUUUGCCUAAGCCCAGGAGACCAGAGUAAGAAGCUGCUCCUUCAUCCAUUCUCCCUCUGCUUCCUGAGGGCAGACCCUGUCCUACCUCAUCCCCAAGACACCCUGCCAUUAGCACCUCAGUUUGUCACCCCAAGAGGAAAAGCAGAAAAGACAAAAAGCCUAAACUCUGGGGAACAGCCAUCCAGUUGUAGUUCAGUAUUGAGGGAUCAGGAGGAAAUUGAAGAUGAAUUCAGAAGCUGAUGCCGGUGAGCCAGGCGUCCAUGGACCAGACUUAGCUGGGGAUAUUAUUUGUAAUUCACAUGAUGGACUUAUCCUGGAUUCUUCUAUCAGAGAAAUGAAUUUGGGGUAAAAAAUUAUGGGGCUACAAAUUGUUCAAAGAGCUGUAGCUGCAGCCUGGAACCUGGCAGGGAGGUUGCAAAGAUCUUUGGGGUCUGAAAGGCUCCCCUUUACCCUCUGAGUGAGUUCUGAGCAGGGUUCCAGGAAGAGAGAAGUUUAACAAGUCCAGAAAGACUUUCAAAUGCGCCUCCUCCUUCCUACCCAGCUUUAUUGUCUGUUUCUUUAUCUCUGUAAUUGGAUUGUAUAUUCUGUUAAAACUUUUGGGGCUUCCUUUGUCUGGAGGACACCCUGAAACCCCCAAUGAUGUGUUAACCUAUAAUAAACAGGUCAGGGACAAGCUGAUCUCUGUCACUCUUGUCUCCCUGCCCGAUUCCACACUAGGUAUUUCUCUGGCUCUCUUGUCUCUCAUUCCCUCUAUGCAGCUCCAUUCCCUGGCUUAAGCCCAUUUCCCCAUUCCUUUUCCCAGUUCUUGGCUUCCCUUCUAGGGUAUUAGAAUUCCCAGGGAUCUUUGAGAGGGCUGGAACUUUUCACUGUGGGAUGCUGGGAGAGAAAGGACUUUCCUCUGCAUAGAAUGUGCCCCCUGGAAUGCUGGGUCCCCCAACAUCCACAAAGGAACAAAAUGAUUAUUACAAAUUAGAAAUUAUCUGGGUCCCCCACAAUAGAUCUGUCAUUACACUGUGGAGGGGAAUAUGCUCUAUAAGAGACAGCAGAGCAUACUUAAUCUCUAAAGGACAGGGGGAGGCUGGCCCUCAGGGGAGGAGGGGGAUUGUCUGGGCACCCGAGACCCCCAAGCACCUGCACAGGAUAAAGGUCCCAGAACUUACACUCAGAUGCUGUAGCCUCAGACGAGUGGGCAAGCUCUGCUAAAUCCAGGACCAUUUCUGGCAGCCCCUGCUCUGCUUGCCUUGGCCCAGGUUCCCUCCUCACAGACUGGGGUUACAUCCAAAUGCAGCAUCCCCCAAAUCUAUA